rnacentral:rRNA from 1 species
UUACUGGGGCAAUCGUCCGAACAAGGCCUGCGCUUAAUUGCGCGGCCAGUUCUUGAUUCUCUGCUAUCAGUUUUCUAUUUCUCAUCCUAAACACAAUGGAGUUUUUUCUCUAUGAACUACUUCCCUGGAGAGCUCGUCUCUCCAGUGGACAUAAACACAAACAAUAUUUUGUAUUAUGAAAAACUAUUAUACUAUAAAAUUUAAUAUUCAAAACUUUCAACAACGGAUCUCUUGGUUCUCGCAUCGAUGAAGAACGCAGCGAAUUGCGAUAUGUAUUGUGAAUUGCAGAUUUUCGUGAAUCAUCAAAUCUUUGAACGCACAUUGCGCCCUCUGGUAUUCCAGGGGGCAUGCCUGUUUGAGCGUCAUUUCUCUCUCAAACCUUUGGGUUUGGUAGUGAGUGAUACUCGUCUCGGGUUAACUUGAAAGUGGCUAGCCGUUGCCAUCUGCGUGAGCAGGGCUGCGUGUCAAGUCUAUGGACUCGACUCUUGCACAUCUACGUCUUAGGUUUGCGCCAAUUCGUGGUAAGCUUGGGUCAUAGAGACUCAUAGGUGUUAUAAAGACUCGCUGGUGUUUGUCUCCUUGAGGCAUACGGCUUUAACCAAAACUCUCAAAGUUGACCUCAAAUCAGGUAGGAGUACCCGCUGA